GUUACAUUGGCUGUGUGACGCUUUAAAAAACAUUGCCGUUGCAGAUUCUAAUUCGUCGCGUUUCACCUAGGGGAGAGGUUAGGUUGCGUUACGGUUUGAAGGUAAGCGCGUCGAAGGAAGUAGGGCGUAAAAUACCAUGAACUUUGAACUGUGCAUUUUUGAAGGGAAAUGGAGUGAAGAAAACCGCGUGAAAAGAUUAAACUAUUUGAUGUUUAAAGUUAUCCAUUUUAUUUCUAUUUUAAGUUUUAACAACAAGUUUUAAUUUUUUUUCAAUAUCUUAAUUUGUAACAUAAUCAGAGAAUAUUAUUUUUAACAAUUUACAAAAAGUAAUCAACAGAAUAUUUUAUUUAUGGGAACAUGAAAUAAAGUGAUAAAAAUCAAUAAAUAAAUUUGAUUCUCUUAAAUGGACCAUAAAUAUUCCACCGAGUCAUGAUUUUCUUGGCGGCGUCGAUUGUGGACAAUCUGGCGAAGUCAUUUAGCGAUACGAAGUGUUGCGUCAUCGGUUAAACUGAUUCGAGAGAUAUGUAUCGAUGGCUCUGGUUUGUAGUUCGUCACGCUUAUAAUUUUACUCUUAUUUCGUUAACAUAAUUCUUACAUGUGAACAAUAAAUAAUUUUAUUUUAUAUAAAAUAAAUUUUUGAGAAUAAAUAAUUCAAUAAGAUAUAUAUAAAAAAAAAUUAUUUCCAUUCUAAUCUUAUUCGCAUAUUUACUAUCUUAUACAUUUGUAAAAUUUUUUUUUAAUUUUACAAUCAAACCAUUAAAAAUUUUGAAUUCAAUAAUUCAAUAAAAAUAAAAAAAUCAUGCUAUUGCUUUAAUAUAGCUAAUCCAUAAAUUAAAGAUAAGAUAUUCCUCGUAGUGUCGAUGUUCUAUCUAUAUUCAGAGAAAUUUGGUGGAUGUCUGCCUAAUGAUAGACUGCAUCACUGCCUGUGCAAAGUUCAAUUUCUAAA